rnacentral:rRNA from 1 species
UACGUAGGGGGCAAGCGUUGUCCGGAAUUAUUGGGCGUAAAGAGCGUGUAGGCGGUCCGGUAAGUCAGCUGUGAAAGUCAAGGGCUCAACCCUUGAAAGCCGGUUGAUACUGUCGGGCUAGAGUCCGGAAGAGGCGAGUGGAAUUUCCGGUGUAGCGGUGAAAUGCGCAGAUAUCGGGAGGAACACCAAUGGCGAAGGCAGCUCGCUGGGACGGUACUGACGCUGAGACGCGAAAGCGUGGGGAGCAAACAGG